rnacentral:rRNA from 1 species
UACGUAGGGUGCAAGCGUUGUCCGGAAUUAUUGGGCGUAAAGAGCUCGUAGGCGGUCCGUCACGUCGGCUGUGAAAACCUGGGGCUCAACCCCGGGCCUGCAGCCGAUACGGGCGGACUAGAAUUCGGUAGGGGAGACUGGAAUACCUGGUGUAGCGGUGAAAUGCGCAGAUAUCAGGAGGAACACCAAUGGCGAAGGCAGCUCGCUGGGACGGUACUGACACUGAGACGCGAAAGCGUGGGGAGCAAACAGG